CCUCAUCAUCAUCAGCGUCGUCAAUCAUCCUCGUCCAAUUCAUCAACUGUCAUCAAUCAUCACCCACAAUCAUCGUCGUUCAUCAAUCACCCUCUACCACAACCGUUAAUCGAGAUUGUACGACGGCAAAUCAAGCGGCCAACAACCACGAGCCACGUGACUUCAUUAAUUCCGUACACCCAAUUUGAGCGGUGAAAUGUUCGGUCGAACGUUAAUGGAGGUUCGAGCGAACCCGAUUCUAGAUUGGGCGAACACACGGUGGGUUCGACCGGACCCGGCCUUGUCAGGAACUUAAAAAAUUGGGUUCGGUCGAACUUAAUACGGGUUCGACCGAACCCAGUUACUCUGCUUUUUUGCUCUGUUUUCUCUGUAUUUUCGUGCUCGAUUUUGAUUGAGUUUUUGUUGCUGUUGUUGGUUGAUGCUAAGGAGUGAUAGGUUGUUUGAUGUAGUAGCACUGUUGGUUGUUGCGUGGAAUGGUGUUGUGAGACGGAGUGCUGUGUUGGAAGGCGAGGGAGGAAGGAGAAAUAAAAAUGUUAAAAAUAGAAUAAAACGACUCAAAUUAUGCCUAAAUUACUACCUAUGAGCGACAUAAAUGUCACUCAUCAGUAUUGUUUUAAUUUCUCUCAAUCUUUCUGUAAGGAACCGCACUGGAUAAUUUGACGCAAUCACUCGUCAAUUAUUGAGGCAUUUACCAGGGCAUUUGCACCAUAACUUGUUCUGCGACUUCUGACUCACAACCAGCAUUGCAGGAAGUCUUGGUGAAUCGGUUUUUAAUAGCACAACUUUUCUUCAGCCGAUUGUCCGUGUUCAAUGGACAUUCUGCCGCUCCUACUCCCGCACUUCCUGAAGCUGUAGGCACCCCUAGUGAGUGUCUGCUGAGAGUUUGACUUGGAGAUUAAAGAAGAUGUUGAAGAGGAAUGUCCAAAAUUUGGUCAAGUUAGACAUAUCCAUGUUGACAAACACAGUGCUGGUCAUAUCUACCUGCGUUUUAACAGCAAGGAAGCUGCAAUAAAUCCCCAUCGUGGAAUGCAUACGAGGUGGUUUGGUUGUAGGUUGAUAUCAGCCAGCUACAUGCAACCUCAAAAUAUGAAGCUAUGUUUGUAGAUGUGUAUACUUGAAGAAUCACCUGGAUUGCAUCAACCUCAUGGAUUCUGUCCGAGUGAAAAUUAAUCUCUACUCCGUAUUUUAUGGUGGUUGGAUUUUUUAGAUAAUGCUUGUAUUAUAACAGUUACUUCUAUGUAAUAUUAUUGCCAUUUAGCAGUUUAGCAUCUGCUAGCUCUCAUAAAAACAAGAAACAAAGCAUCUGCAAGCUGCCAUCUGCAAGCAUCUACUCUAAUAAUAUGUGCUCAUUUGCACAAAUGAUAAA